GGCUUAACACUUCCCUCAUGGCUAUUGAAGAUUACUGGAGAUAUAAUUGAGCCGCUUUUUAAAGAAACUGAUGAAGCAAACCAGAAUGACGCAAACCCUGAUUUAAGAUUGUUAUUCUUUAUAUAUUCAGAAAGUUUUUCAACUUCAUGAUUUCUUUUAUCUAAUGAAAUGGCGUUACCAUAAAUGACAGCCCCGCUAACAAUCGCUAAAACAAAUAGAUAGAUUGACAUCUUAUAAUCUAUGUUUACAUUUCUACAAACAAACACAGAACCGAAAACCACAGAUGGAGCAAUAUAUCUAAU
rnacentral:misc_RNA from 1 species